CCUACGGGAGGCUGCAGUAGGGAAUCUUCCACAAUGGGCGCAAGCCUGAUGGAGCAACACCGCGUGAGUGAAGAAGGGUUUCGGCUCGUAAAGCUCUGUUGUUGGAGAAGAACGUGCGUGAGAGUAACUGUUCACGCAGUGACGGUAUCCAACCAGAAAGUCACGGCUAACUACGUGCCAGCAGCCGCGGUAAUACGUAGGUGGCAAGCGUUAUCCGGAUUUAUUGGGCGUAAAGCGAGCGCAGGCGGUUGCUUAGGUCUGAUGUGAAAGCCUUCGGCUUAACCGAAGAAGUGCAUCGGAAACCGGGCAACUUGAGUGCAGAAGAGGACAGUGGAACUCCAUGUGUAGCGGUGGAAUGCGUAGAUAUAUGGAAGAACACCAGUGGCGAAGGCGGCUGUCUGGUCUGCAACUGACGCUGAGGCUCGAAAGCAUGGGUAGCGAACAGGACUAGAUACCCGGGUAGUC
rnacentral:rRNA from 1 species